rnacentral:tRNA from 1 species
GCUGGCGUAGCUCAGUUGGUAGAGCAGCUGAUUUGUAAUCAGCAGGUCGGGGGUUCAAUUCCCUUUGCCAGCUCCA